rnacentral:rRNA from 1 species
CCUACGGGGGGCAGCAGUGGGGAAUAUUGGGCAAUGGAGGCAACUCUGACCCAGCAACGCCGCGUGAAUGAUGAAGGUCUUCGGAUUGUAAAGUUCUUUUCUAAGGGAAGAAGAAAGUGACGGUACCUUAGGAAUAAGCCUCGGCUAACUACGUGCCAGCAGCCGCGGUAAUACGUAGGAGGCAAGCGUUAUCCGGAAUGACUGGGCGUAAAGGGUGCGUAGGUGGUUUGACAAGUUAGUAGCGCAACUCCGGAGCUCAACUUCGGAACUACUACUAAAACUGUUGGACUUGAGUGCAGGAGGGGCAAUCGGAAUUCCUGGUGUAGCGGUGGAAUGCGUAGAUAUUAGGAGGAACACCAGUGGCGAAGGCGGAUUGCUGGACUGUAACUGACACUGAGGCACGAAAGCGUGGGGAGCAAACAGGAUUAGAUACCCUUGUAGUC